GUCCCUGUAGCGCAAUGGAAAGCGCUUUGGACUUCUAAUCCAAAGGUCGUGGGUUCGAAUCCCACCUGGGUUG
rnacentral:tRNA from 1 species